rnacentral:lncRNA from 1 species
UUUGAUUGGAAAGAGUUCGGUAUUAAUUCUGAUUAUAGGGAGGACUGAAAAUGGCCAAAUCCCUCCAAAAUCCAAUCCAAACUCUCCCCCAAUAGAUUCAAAACUCAAUCUAUCAUUUAAAAAUUAUUUUUCAAAACUAUCCUUCCUCACCUCACUCACCCUAUAUAAAAAAAUCGAAUCCUGACUUGGCCUUUGGAUCAUCCUUUCGCCACCUCCCUCCACUUACUGGGCAUCUUC